rnacentral:lncRNA from 1 species
AUAGUACACUUUCCCAUCCAUGACGGACGUCUAGUUAGACUCGAGCUGCGCGUACCAGAUCCCCUGGAUCUUCACAUCCUUAGGUGCCUUGGCCCCAAGGUCGGUGUCCGACGGCUGCACACUCUCGAAGACACCGAUGACCUCGCCAGUUUCCGGGUUGCUCUUGGUGACGCUCAAUGUGAUGUUGCCCGUCGACGACGCAGCGUUCUUGAUGUUCUCCUUCACGAGCUCCUCCUCGUCUCCCCUGCCUCCGGCGGGGAGCGCGACGGCGUUGUCGUACCCGGUCGAACCACCACGGCCCUUGGGGUCGAGGAAGGAGGAGCCACGGUAGCUGGGCACAAGGAAGGGCCCGCCGAAGCUCUCGGGCUUGCCGGUGGCGACGAGCUGCUUGACGGUGAAGAGGAACGGCACGCGCUCGCCUCCUGGAAGCUGCACGGUGACGGCGGCGUAGUCGAUGCCGUCCUUCUCCUCGAACUUGAGGGUGCCGUCGGAGCCGACCUCGAGCGGGCCCUCGAUCUCGUCGAGGGUGUAGGUGAGGCGGGUCAUGAGCUUGGUCUUCUGGAACUCGGGCGGGGCGUUCUUGGCGAUGCCCUCGGCCUUGACGGUGAAGGACGUCGGCUCCAGGCAGAACUUCUUCAUCUGGUACUUGCCGGCCUUGAACGGGAAGGAGUCGACGCCGCCGUCGAUGGUCGGGCACUGGUUCGCCGUGCCCGUGCCCUUCACCUCCAUGUACGUCUUGCUCUGGAUCUCGUCGUAGGUCAGCCUCUUGGGCGUGCCCUCC